UACGGAGGGUGCGAGCGUUGUCCGGAAUCACUGGGCGUAAAGGGCGCGUAGGUGGCCUGUGGAAGUCUGCGGUGAAAGCCCGGCGCUCAACGCCGGGUCGGCCGUGGAUACUCUCGGGCUUGAGCUUACUAGAGGCAGAUGGAAUUCCGGGUGUAGCGGUGGAAUGCGUAGAGAUCCGGAAGAACACCGGUGGCGAAGGCGGCGACCUGGUCCAUUACUGACGCUGAGGCGCGACAGCGUGGGGAGCAAACAGG
rnacentral:rRNA from 1 species